rnacentral:rRNA from 1 species
CCUACGGGGGACAGCAGUGGGGGAUAUUGCACAAUGGGGGAAACCAUGAUGCAGCGACGCCGCGUGUGGGAAGACGGUCUUCUGGAUUGUAAACCACUGUCCCCAGGGACGAAAAUGACGGUACCUGGGGAGGAAGCUCCGGCUAACUACGUGCCAGCAGCCGCGGUAAUACGUAGGGAGCAAGCGUUGUCCGGAAUUACUGGGUGUAAAGGGAGCGUAGGCGGGGAUGCAAGUUGGGUGUCAAAACUACCGGCUCAACCGAUAGUCGCACUCAAAACUGCAACUCUUGAGUGAAGUAGAGGCAGGCGGAAUUCCUAGUGUAGCGGUGAAAUGCGUAGAUAUUAGGAGGAACACCAGUGGCGAAGGCGGCCUGCUGGGCUUUUACUGACGCUGAGGCUCGAAAGUGUGGGGAGCAAACAGGAUUAGAUACCCGGGUAGUC